rnacentral:lncRNA from 1 species
AAAAGCUUAAGUGCAGGGAGGUUCAGAUUGGGGAUGGCUUCAGAGAUGAAAUUGUUUUGGAGGCACAACGUAGUGAGGCGUGUAAGAUUCUGGAUUUUGGUUGGAAUGCUUCCGGAAAAGGAGUUGAAGGAGAAGUCCAAGACAAUGAGGUUGGGAGGCAGAGAGGCAGGAAGCAUGCCGGAGAAAUUAUUGUGUUGGAGGUAAAGGUACUCCAAGGAAGGAAUGGAUAGGAUAUCAGAAGGCAGACUUCCAUAGAGGAAGUUGGAGCGGAGGCUGAGGACUUGAAGAGUAUGAAGCUUCCCUAUACUGUUGGAAGGGAUGGAACCGAAAAGUCCAAUCCCCGGAAGAUGGAUGGCAGUCACUCGUUUUGUUUAGAUUGCAAGUGAUUCCAACCCAAGACAUGCAAACUGGCGUGGAAGCAUUCCAGUUGAGUUUUCGGAUGUGGACAACGGUGGCAGCAAAGUUGAGGAGGGCUUGUCUAUCCGAGUUCAGGUCAGAAAAAACUGAGGAAGGGAAAGGCGGAAUAAGGAAAAGGAAGAUAAGCGUGCAAAUGGAGACCUGAAGCUUCAUGAUUUUCUGCUUAGAAAGAAAAUGAUACAAUUAGAAAACUCCGAAAACAAAGUUAAGAAUCAUGCAGAAGGGAUACAGAUAGCAGCGAAAAUUCAUCUACAUUUCGGGUUUAGGAUGGCAAAGAGUGGCAAAGAACCACUCAAUGACUUGGGAAAAUCCCAGAGGAUUGAUCACAACUGUGUUUGAAAAGUGUUGUGCUAGAUAAAACGCCUCGCUUUAUGCCUUAGCGAUUUCAAACUUCGGAUCAAACACAACCCAAACAAAAAGGUGAUAAAAGAAAACCCACUCAACUCAGCAUCAAAGGUCACAUAACUUGAGACAGAUUCCAUUAGGGAUAAAUAAAUAUGCUAGCUAGCCUGUCUUAAUUCUUAUGAUUUGAAUUUCUUUCAAAAAAUUACAGUGGUUGUUCAAAUACGAAUUCGACGCAUUUUUACCUACUAGGAAAGCACAGAAGAUUAAAAACAAAAACAUGGAUUAGUGAAAAGUAAUCUCUAUAUUUAGACGGAUUAAUCAUGGGUUUUUUUUUCUUUUUUUUUUCUUUCUCAAAUCUAAUUAUUACACACAUAAUUAAGCUAAUAACAUUAUAUAGGACACACCAAUAUCAACUUUAUUUGUUCAUUAAUACUUAUAAAGUCAUUACACUAGAAUUUUCUUUCAAAGAAAAUUCUAGUGUAUUGACUUUAUAAGUAUUAAUGGCUUUGGUAUUAAUUAAUGAACAAAUAAAGUUGAUAUUGGUGUGUCGUCUAUAAUGUCAUUAGCUUAAUUAUGUGUGUAAUAAUUAGAUUUAAGAAAAAAAAAAAAAAGAAAAAAAAACCAUGAUUCCAAACCUCCACAAACCACAAACAUGAUUUCAACCAAAUUUCUUCUUCUACUCCGCCAACACCAACUUCAGCCCAUCUUUGCUUUUCACCGAGCAAGCUGCAUUGUAGUCCGCCAUUGGAAUAUUAGCAUACUUGUCUGCCAGUUGCACCGCAAGCUCAUCCUUCUGAUCCCACCGCUUCCUUGCGGAUUGGGAGCUUCUUGCUCUGGAGCCUUCUGUGGGGCAGAUUGAGAUGUGCUCGCCCCAUGGUGGGUCGGUGCUACCAUUAAGGCUUUCCCAAGACUCUCUACAUGCGCAUUGAUAGAUUUGCGUGUCUCUGCGGACUCCUUGGAGAUCAAAGAUCGUAGUGCUGCUAUCUCUCUAGAAACUAGCACGCUGAGAUUGUUGAAUCUGUCCAGCAGUUGUUUUGAGAUUUCUCGCUCUGAUGCAAAUUGAACAUUAAGGCGCUCGACUGUCUGGGUGAGGGUGUUAACAAUUCCCUCAAGUUUGUUUGCUGCAGACAAUUGGUUUGCGAGAAGGACAGCUGACAGGUAUAUCGAUACCUCGGAUUGACCCCAAUCUGUAGGGCUUGCACAGUUGAGAGUCCACAUGUUCUGGAUAUGCAGAUGGUCUAGCAUGACUCCUUUCUCACUGGACAUGUUUAGAACCAUUGUCUCAAAUUCUCCUUUAUUCCCCCUUGAUGGGGUCUUCUUGUAGGUGGGAUCUGGAUCUCGAGGUUGUCCAAAGAAGUCAAAAGCAAUUCCCUUUGGGUCGGUAGGAGGUAAGACUGACUGGGAUGGAUUUGCCGCAGGAGGUGUCGGUGUGACUUGACUCUCUGUAGGAUUGUUGACAGGUAUCCCAUACAUGCUGACUGGAAACUCGCUGGUUGACGAGACAGGGCGAUCCGCAGUUGCAGAGCUUGAAGUGGGCUGCCCAAUCUGAGGAGAGGUUACCACCGGAGGAGUGGUUGGUGGCAGGUGCGGAGCACUGCCAGGGGCUGUUGUAUUAGGAGGAACCGGGUCUUGAUCUUGCCAGUUGAAUAAAGGACUUGAUACAUCAGGCGCUAGCGUUAUCUGAGGAUACGAAAUCUGGCCUUGUUUGACUGCGUCCAGCUUCUCCAUCAUUUCCUUUAGGACUUGUGCUGCAGCGCUUUCGUCUUCAGCAGUCGACAUCCUUCUUGACCAAUAAAUAAAAUUCUCAACAAGAUACAAAACUUGACAGGUAGAACACUAACGGUGUUCCUCCUCAUUAAUCAUGGGUUUAAAUUAACUGGAAAAUUUCAUGGUUCAAACAUAUAGAGGAAAAAGGAAUGGCAUCUCUACCAACUUUUGUAAAUUGGGAAAAGGCAAAAUGCACCAUCUUUAGUCAAAAGAAAAAGAAAUAAAGAAAAGAGAGCUUGAUCAUCACCAAAAUAUAAGCUACAGUGAACCUUUUCCCCUAAAAGAAAAAAAUUAUACACUUCAAAGUUUAACACAAGUGGGAAAAGCAAUCAAAUAUACAAAGCAAAAUGGUGACAAAGAUGGAAUCCAAGAAGAUAAUCUUCCUAAAGAAAAAGGAAAAGAAAAACUAACGAAAAUAAUUUGAAAACUUUGAGUUUUAACAAAAAUGUGUAUAAGUGAAUAGUAUCAGAAGUGACUUUUUAGAGUACAAAUAUUAUUUUCGUUAAACGUGAAUAAUACCGGAAGUGUUUUGUUAAAACUCCCGAAUUUUACAUGAUUUAGUUGCCUUUUGUUGCAGGUUUGCUAAAAAAAGAACGUUACUUGGUUCUUUACCUGUAACGAGUCAUUCAUUUUAAACUGUCAAUCAUUUGCUGAUACAUAUACACAAUUGGAGAAGCACGAAAAGAAACGUUACUGCUGCUAAACUGUAAAUUGAACAAUCCCGAAUUCUUACAGGUAAGAAGCCAAGUAAUUUCCACGACGUAAUUUUAACUUGGGAUGAUCAUUCAUGCAUUUUGAGCCAAAGUGUUCCUGCAGAUCUUACAAAACAAAAGUAAACUUAGUAAAGAACAAUGCCAGAAAUAUCAACUCAGAAAUAUACAAAUACACUGAUGCGCUAUAGAACUGUGGAAAAGAAGAACUUGUAUCUAAAAUUUAAUCAUAUGUGGCUCAGAAAAAAAAUCUACCUGAAAAUCUGAUCAAUCUGUCACAGAUUUCCGUGCUACUUGAAAGUCAAGGUGUGUGAAAAUAGUUGAAGAGGCUGAGAGUGAGUGAGACACCAGUUUCUUGCACUUACUUUUCUCAGGACGAAAACCAAUGGAAAAUGAACUUAUUAUUUAAAUAAAACGGGAAUAUAAUUUUUAUUUUCCCCUUAGUUUAAUGAAAAUAAUAAUAAAUAUACCAUAAUUGAUAGAGAAACGGAAUUUUUUGAUAAAUUAGUGAUUUUUUUUUCAUUUUAAAAAGGGGAUAAGUGGGUGCCAAAGUUAUAGCAGUCUAUUAUUUUAGGAGUUGUGAAGACUCACAAAACAUUUUAACCUCUCUUGAUCACCAUCUUGUAGAUCACCAACGUAAAAAAUCAAACUUAGAACGAGUUGUAUAGAAUCAGGACUAGAAUUCGCUCCGACCACUGAACCACCACGUAGUAAUUAAUGAAUUGGUGAUUGGAGGGUAAGAAUGUGAGGUAUGGAAUAUAAAGAAAAUAAUUAAAAUAUUAUUAAAUAGAGGGGUCAAUUUAUUCUUCAACAGUGACGUCGGCAAUUAUAUAUAGGAAUAACAAACCAGAAAAGCUAAAUGCAGCUUUAAUAUAAAAUAGAUAAAUAAAUAUACUGCAAUGGGGAACAGAAUCCAUGGAAGCAUGCAUCACUCAGAGUAAGGACUGAGGAGAGUUGGAAUAGGGACUGGAGGGAGAGCAAACUGCUCCCAUGUCAUUGUCCUGCCUCUUACUCGUCAUUUUAUUUGGUAUUGGUUAGGAGUUGGGACAAAUCAUUGUUGCACAAUUCUUGCCACAAAACUCGCAUACUGUGCGCGAAGAGAUAAAUUUUGGUAGGACUGUGGGAUUGGGGUAGUUCUCACAUUAAGUACCAGCUUGGUAUUGUUGAAAUUUUAAACAAAACUGGCAUGCGUUUAAGUAUUUGGCAAACAUUUUAAAUUGGUUUUUUUUUUCUUCACAAUUUUAGGUAAAAAAAAAUCAAAAAACUGGAACUGUAAAGACAGUUUUAGAAAACAGUUAUUUUCAUCUCAUUAACGGGUGAACAGUAACAUUUAAAAUGAAUUUUUCAAGAUUACAAUUAUGCCCUCCUUUCUCUAUACGCUAUCAGUCUCGAACCAGAUCUGAAAUUUGGGGCAUCCUAAGUGGAUUAGUGAGAGGGUCAAGUGUGACCAAAAUACAUGAUUUCUCUUUUUUUUUUUUUUUGAGAGGUGCCUUAUAUAUGAUUUUGAGAAGCAUCCUACAUAUGACGUGAUCAGACCAAUUUUUUUCUCUAGUAGAAGGGCUUGUCCAAGACAAAACCUUUUAAAAAAAAUUAAGAUUCACACAUCUUUAGUUACUAUUUCAAAUGUUUUUUUUUAAGAAACACGAGUGCUUAUCUUUUAUUAGAAACACGUCAAAAUUUUCAUAAAAAUUUAAGUGCUUUAAAGAGCCCCUUCUUCAAACGGUAUUACAAGCGUGAUUGGUUUUAUAAAAGUAAUGUUGGAGAUUGUGAUGCUGAAAACACAAUAGCAUUGAACAUUAUUUCCAAAUUUCCAAUUGCAUUCCAAAAACAAGAUGACAAUGCUUAAACAGAAAAAGAAAAGAAAAUAAAAUAAAAUAAAGAGUACUGGAUUUUUUUCAUGGGGUUUGCACAUUAAAUUCCGACUCGGAGGAUUGCCUAGUUUUGGUGUCGGAUUGCCGGAGUUCCUCUAUCAUUCUGACUACGUCAUCCAUGUUGGGGCGUGUUUCGGGCAAUUUUGUUACGCAUGCCAGAGCAAUCUGCAGCAUCUGCACCAUCUCUUCUUCACUGUGUUGCUGUUUUAGAAGUUCCAAAUCAAAAACCUCAGCUGUCCACUCCUCACGCACAACAGACUUAACCCAACGCGGGAGAUCAACCACGCAGUCAUAACCUGGAUAUUGAAGCGUGGUUUUGCCUGUCAGCAUUUCUAAGAGGAGCACACCAAAGCUAUAGACAUCAGAUUUGUGAGUGAUUUUCCGCAUGUCAGUUGCCUCGGGAGCGCGAUAUCCCAUGGCCCGGGACAUGGCUGGAGGGAAGUUCAUUAGAGGACUCAACCCUACGUCUGAGAUGCAAGCCUCGAGUUCUUGGGUGAGGAGGACGUUUGUGGACUUUAUAUUGCCAUGGCUAGAUUUUGCACCCUCGGAAUGAAUGUGGGCAAGUCCCUUGGCAAUCCCGAGCGAAAUCUUUACUCUUGAAUCCCAGUCUAGUGGAGACCUCCCAGCAUCACUGCUUCCUACAAAUUCAUCGGAACAACAACAACAACAAAGCCUUAUCCAUCGAAACAACGAAAAUAAAUUAAAGUAAAUAUAAUCAGACAUUAGGAUUUAGAUUAGGCAUCAUACCAUGCAAGUGUGCAAACAAGCUUCCUGUUGGAAUGUAGUUGUACACCAAAAGCUUCUCAUCUUUCGAAAAAUAAUAAGCGCGAGGAGGCAGGACAUUUGGGUGCUUCCCUACCUUCUCCACCAGCUCCAUAUGCUGCUCAAACUCCCUCUUCCCCACCACAACUUCCCUCAACCGCUUCACCACAACCGUUGUUUCCUCAUCCAAUACAGCUUUGUAAGUUGUUCCGAAACUUCCUUUGCCGAGAACUUCAGCUGACGCUCUCAGCAGAUCCUCAAGAUCAAAAUUGAAAUAGCAACCUUCAAAGAAGAACAGCUUGUUCUUCUCAGCUUCUUGCACUCCACUCCCAAAAUCCUUAGGCAUCUCACCCUUUCCAUCACCCGCAGCCUUCCCUUUCAACAUCCCGCCACCUACUUUGUUAGUCCUUUUCCAGCAGCAUAUGACAACCACCAGAACUAGAAGAAUAAACACUGCAGAGCACCCAAAUGCCAUGGCAAUAAUGGAUCCCGGGCUGAGUUUUUUUAUGAGUGUAGCAUGGUGAUUUUUCAGAAUGGUUGGCGAGGGUGGCAAGAAAGCAGAGGAUGCAGAAGGGGUAGAGGAGGUGGUUUUAGAACAAUUGUUGAGAGGUUCUCCACAUAACUGAGGAUUCCCAACAAAUGAAGAGUUCGAAUAUUUUUCGAGGGAAUAUGGAACCGAGCCAUUCAAGUUAUUGUAGCUCAAAUUCAAAAGCUUAAGUGCGGGGAGGUUCAGAUUGGGGAUGGCUCCAGAGAUGAAAUUGUUUUGGAGGUACAACGUAGUGAGGCGUGUAAGAUUCUGGAUUUUAGUUGGAAUGCUUCCGGAAAAGGAGUUGAAGGAGAAGUCCAAGACAACGAGGUUGGGAGGCAGAGAGGCAGGUAGCAUGCCGGAGAAAUUAUUGUGUUGGAGGUAAAGGUACUCCAAGGAAGGAAUGGAUAGGAUAUCAGAAGGCAGACUUCCAUAGAGGAAGUUUGAGCGGAGGCUGAGGACUUGAAGAGCAUGAAGCUUCCCUAUACUGUUGGAAGGGAUGGAACCGAAAAGUCCAAUCCCCGGAAGAUGGAUGGCAGUCACACUCGUUUUGUUUAGAUUGCAUGUGAUUCCAACCCAAGACGUGCAAACUGG